GGAAAGUUGAAAGUAUUUUUGAAAACAAUGUUCUAGCGGAAUGUAGAGCGUUGAAAACUCUACAAGACUACCAAAGAAACUGAUUGUCCAAAAGGUGCCACUGCCGAGAUUGCCUGACAUCGAAAAUCUGACCUUUU